CGGGGUGAGUAAUGCUUGGGAAUCUAGCUUAUGGAGGGGGAUAACUACGGGAAACUGUAGCUAAUACCGCGUAGUAUCGGAAGAUGAAAGUGUGGGACCUUCGGGCCACAUGCCAUAGGAUGAGCCCAAGUGGGAUUAGGUAGUUGGUGAGGUAAAGGCUCACCAAGCCGACGAUCUCUAGCUGGUCUGAGAGGAUGACCAGCCACACUGGGACUGAGACACGGCCCAG
rnacentral:rRNA from 1 species